UCCCAGCAGUCCGAGUCGCAGCCACAAUUAUUGGGUCUAAAACAUCCGUAGCUUGCUUAGUAAGUCUUUUGUGAAAUCGGGCCUCUUAAGGGUCCGGCGUGCAAAAGAUACUGCCGAGCUUGAGACCGGGAGAGGUAACGAGUACGAAUCGGGUAGCGGUAAAAUGUGUUGAUCCAAUUCGGACUAACAACAGCGAAGGCACGUUACCAGCACGGAUCUGACAGUGAGGGAUGAAGGCUAGGGGC
rnacentral:rRNA from 1 species